rnacentral:rRNA from 1 species
GAUGAACGCUGGCGGCGUGCCUAAUACAUGCAAGUCGAGCGAACAGACGAGGAGCUUGCUCCUCUGACGUUAGCGGCGGACGGGUGAGUAACACGUGGAUAACCUACCUAUAAGACUGGGAUAACUUCGGGAAACCGGAUCUAAUACCGGAUAAUAUAUUGAACCGCAUGGUUCAAUAGUGAAAGACGGUUUUGCUGUCACUUAUAGAUGGAUCCGCGCCGCAUUAGCUAGUUGGUAAGGUAACGGCUUACCAAGGCAACGAUGCGUAGCCGACCUGAGAGGGUGAUAGGCCACACUGGAACGGAGACACGGUCCAGACUCCUACGGGAGGCAGCAGUAGGGAAUCUUCCGCAAUGGGCGAAAGCCUGACGGAGCAACGCCGCGUGAGUGAUGAAGGUCUUCGGAUCGUAAAACUCUGUUAUUAGGGAAGAACAAAUGUGUAAGUAACUAUGCACGUCUUGACGGUACCUAAUCAGAAAGCCACGGCUAACUACGUG